AUUACUGGGCGUAAAGCGCAUGCAGGUGGUUCAUUAAGUCAGAUGUGAAAGCCCGGGGCUCAACCUCGGAACUGCAUUUGAAACUGGUGAACUAGAGUGCUGUAGAGGGGGGUAGAAUUUCAGGUGUAGCGGUGAAAUGCGUAGAGAUCUGAAGGAAUACCAGUGGCGAAGGCGGCCCCCUGGACAGACACUGACACUCAGAUGCGAAAGCGUGGGGAGCAAACAGGAUUAGAUACCCUGGUAGUCCACGCCGUAAACGAUGUCUACUUGGAGGUUGUGGCCUUGAG
rnacentral:rRNA from 1 species